rnacentral:rRNA from 1 species
GGCCUUUUGUGUAAAAUUUAAGGUCUAACCUGCCCACUGAUUAAUUUAAAUGGCCGCGGUAUUUUGACCGUGCUAAGGUAGCAUAAUCAUUAGUUUUUUAAUUGAAAGCUGGAAUGAAGGGUUGAAUGAAAAAAUAACUGUCUCUUAUAAAUUUUAUUAGAAUUUUAUUUUUAAGUUAAAAAGCUUAAAUUAGUUUAAAAGACGAGAAGACCCUAUAGAGUUUAAUAUAAUUUUUUAAUAUAAAAAUUUAGAAUUAGGGCUUUAUAUUAGUUUUUAUAUUCAAUUGGGGUGAUUAAAAAAUUAAAUUAACUUUUUUUAUAUAUUUAUAUGAAUUAAUAAUUAUUUGAUCCAAUUUUUUUGAUUAUAAGAAUAAAUUACCUUAGGGAUAACAGCGUAAUUUUACUGGAGAGUUCAAAUCGAUAGUAAAGAUUGCGA